rnacentral:rRNA from 1 species
UACGUAGGCAGCAAGCGUUGUUCGGAGUUACUGGGCGUAAAGGGUGUGUAGGCGGUUGUUUAAGUUUGGUGUGAAAUCUCCCGGCUCAACCGGGAGGGUGCGCCGAAUACUGAAUGACUUGGAGUGCGGGAGAGGAAAGUGGAAUUCCUGGUGUAGCGGUGAAAUGCGUAGAUAUCAGGAGGAACACCGGUGGUGUAGACGGCUUUCUGGACCGUAACUGACGCUGAGACACGAAAGCGUGGGGAGCAAACCGG